rnacentral:rRNA from 1 species
UACGGAGGGUGCAAGCGUUGUCCGGAUUCAUUGGGUUUAAAGGGUGCGCAGGCGGGCGAUUAAGUCAGGGGUGAAAGACGGUUGCUCAACAAAUCGCAGUGCCUUUGAUACUGGUUGUCUUGGGUGACCUUGAGGUAGGCGGAAUGGGUGGUGUAGCGGUGAAAUGCAUAGAUACCACCCAGAACUCCGAUUGCGAAGGCAGCCUACUGGAGGUUCACCGACGCUCAGGCACGAAAGCGUGGGGAUCAAACAGG